UCGUUGCGAUGGUAGUCAUGCUCAAUAUGAUAAGAACCAUUGGUUUAGACAUUUAGUUCAUAUGCUUGGCCGAUUAUACAAUGGUGUGAAGCUAUCAUUUUCGGUACUAUUACUGAGUGACUCUAAGUUAGAAAUCCUUCUGCACAUGAUGA
rnacentral:ncRNA from 1 species